rnacentral:rRNA from 1 species
UUAUGUGAUUGCAGAACACAUUGAACAUCGACACCUUGAACGCACAUGGCGGCCUCGGGUCCAUCCCGGGGCCACGCCCGUCUGAGGGUCG